AUGACUCUGAUGAUCAAUAAACA
rnacentral:siRNA from 1 species